rnacentral:rRNA from 1 species
AGAGUUUGAUCAUGGCUCAGAUUGAACGCUGGCGGCAUGCAUUAUACAUGCAAGUCGAGCGGUACCAAAGGAGCUUGCUCCUGGUGGCGAGUGGCGAACGGGUGCGUAAUACAUCGGAACGUACCCAGGAGUGGGGGAUAACGCGGCGAAAGAAACGCUAAUACCGCAUAUCUGUGUGAGCAAGAAAGCGGGGGAUCGCAAGCGCUCCCGCUCCUGGACCGGCCGAUGUCAGAUUAGCUAGUUGGUGAGGUAACGGCUCACCAAGGCGACGAUCGGUAGCAGGUUUGAGAGGAUGAUCCGCCACACUGGAACUGAGACACGGCCCAGACUCCUACGGGAGGCAGCAGUUGGGAAUUUUGGACAAUGGGGGCAACCCUGAUCCAGCCAUGCCGCGUGAUUGAAGAAGGCCUUCGGGUUGUAAAGCUCUUUCCGCAGGGGAAGAAAUAGGAACGACUAAUAUCCGUUGUUGAUGACGGUACUCGCAUAAGAAGCACCGGCUAACUCCGUGCCAGCAGCCGCGGUAAUACGUAGGGUCCGAGCGUUAAUCGGAAUUACUGGGCGUAAAGCGUGCGCAGGCGGUUUCGUAAGACAGACGUGAAAUCCCCGGGCUCAACCUGGGAACUGCGUUUGUGACUGCGAGGCUAGAGUACGGCAGAGGGGGGUAGAAUUCAACGUGUAGCAGUGAAAU